UCAAGCUACUAAGGGCAUACGGUGGAUGCCUAGGCGCCAAGAGCCGAAGAAGGACGCGGUAAGCUGCGAAAAGCCACGGGGAACUGCAAGCAAGUAUUGAUCCGUGGAUAUCCGAAUGGGGAAACCCGGCCAUCGUCAUGGAUGGUCACCCGCAAGGGAGGGAACCUGGGGAACUGAAACAUCUAAGUACCCGGAGGAAGAGAAAUCAAACGAGAUGCCCACAGUAGCGGCGAGCGAAGAGGGCAGAGCCCAAACCGAGAAGCUCCGGCUUUUCGGGGUUGAGGACCGGCAGAAUCGAAGUCAGGCCUAGUUGAAUUACCUGGAAAGGUAAGCGAGAGAGGGUAAAAGCCCCGUAGACGAAAGGCAGAGCAGAGAGGCCGAGAUCCAGAGUACCACGAAGCACGAGGAAUUUUGUGGGAAGCAGGGGGGACCACCCUCCAAGGCUAAAAACUACUUGGCGACCGAUAGCGCAUAGUACCGUGAGGGAAAGGUGAAAAGAACCCCGGGAGGGGAGUGAAAUAGUACCUGAAACCGUAUGUCUACAAGCAGUCGAAGCGAAAGCGACGGCGUGCCUAUUGAAGAAUGAACCAACGAGUUAUCUGCACUAGCGAGGUUAAGUGGAAGACACGGAGCCGCAGCGAAAGCGAGUCUUAAGAGGGCGCUAGUUAGUGUAGGUAGACCCGAAACCGCAGUGAUCUACCCAUGUCCAGGUUGAAGCGCAGGUAAAAUUGCGUGGAGGACCGAACCGGUGAGCGUUGAAAAGCUUUCGGAUGAGAUGUGGGUAGGGGUGAAAUUCCAAUCGAACGCGGAGAUAGCUGGUUCUCCCCGAAAUAGCUUUAGGGCUAGCCUGAGGUAGUAAGUAUAGGCGGUAGAGCACUGAUCGGGCUAGGGGCCGUAAAGGUUACCGAACCCUGUCAAACUCCGAAUGGAUAUACUGUAGAGCCUUGGAGUCAGACUACGAGUGAUAAGAUCCGUGGUCAAAAGGGAAACAGCCCAGACCACCAGCUAAGGUCCCCAAUGUCGUACUAAGUGGAAAAGGAUGUGGGGUUUCAUAAACAACCAGGAUGUUGGCUCAGAAGCAGCCACCAUUUAAAGAGUGCGUAAUAGCUCACUGGUCGAGAGACCCUGCGCCGAAGAUUCCCGGGGCUAAAGUACGAAACCGAAGCUGUGGCUGUAUACGUAAAGUAUACGGGGUAGGGGAGCGUUCCCAUAGGGUAGAAGUCGAACUGGAAGGUUCGGUGGACUUGUGGGAAGUGAGAAUGUUGGUAUGAGUAGCGAAAAGAAAGGUGAGAAUCCUUUCCACCGAAAGCAUAAGGAUUCCUGAGCAACGAUCGUCGUCUCAGGGUAAGUCGGGACCUAAUCCGAGGCAGAGAGCGUAGGAGAUGGACAACUGGUUGAUAUUCCAGUACCGGUAGUAAUUGUUUGAGCAAUGGAGUGACACAGAAGGGCAGGCAAGCAUGCGAAUGGAAGAGCAUGUGUAAGCGUGUAGGGUGGUGCAUAGGCAAAUCCGUGCACUGAAAGCCUGAGGCGUGAUGCGGAGUGAGCAGAGAUGCGAGCGAAGUUGUUGACCCCACACUGUCGAGAAAAGCUUCUAGUGAGAGAGCUACCGCCCGUACCGUAAACCGACACAGGUAUGCGGGGAGAGAAUCCUAAGGUGCGCGGGAGAACCCUCGUUAAGGAACUCGGCAAAAUGUACCCGUAACUUCGGGAUAAGGGUAGCCACUGUUGUGAAGUCCCAUGCGGAUGGAGCAUAGAGUGGUCGCAGAGAAGAGGCCCAAGCGACUGUUUACCAUAAACACAGGUGCCUGCUAAAGCGAAAGCUGACGUAUAGGUGCUGACACCUGCCCAGUGCCGGAAGGUUAAGGAAGGAUGUUCGGAUUAGUCCAAAGCAUUCGACUGAAGCCCCGGUGAACGGCGGCCGUAACUAUAACGGUCCUAAGGUAGCGAAAUUCCUUGUCGGGUAAGUUCCGACCCGCACGAAAGGUGUAACGAUUUGGGCACUGUCUCAACGAGGGACCCGGUGAAAUUGAAAUACCUGUGAAGAUGCAGGUUACCCGCGACUGGACAGAAAGACCCCAUGGAGCUUUACUGUAACCUGACAUUGGGUUUUGAUACAUUACGUACAGGAUAGGUGGGAGGCAUGGAAAGCUGGACGCUAGUCUGGCUGGAGCCGCCGUUGGGAUACCACCCUUGAUGUAUUGAAAUUCUAA
rnacentral:rRNA from 1 species